UUUCCGUAGGUGAACCUGCGGAAGGACCAUUACUGAGUGAGGGCCCCUCGGGGUCCAACCUCCCACCCGUGUUUAACGAACCUUGUUGCUUCGGCGGGCCCGCUUCACGGCCGCCGGGGGGCAUCUGCCCCCGGGCCCGCGCCCGCCGAAGCCACCUGUGAACGCUGUCUGAAGUAUGCAGUCUGAGACAAUUAUUAAAUUAAUUAAAACUUUCAACAACGGAUCUCUUGGUUCCG
rnacentral:misc_RNA from 1 species